rnacentral:lncRNA from 1 species
CCCUGAGCACGCCGUAGCCGUGCGGUAGUGGAGGCUUCCACCAUCGCCCUGAUACAGGUUGCCACACUCGCCCAUGGUAAACGGCGCGCCGCUUGUCGCCACCAUAGCCGUGUCGCAUAAUGAUAGAUAGCGUUGCCACGCAAAAGCGAGUCUCCCUAUCUGGAUUGAUGGUCAUGGUCGUGCGCGCCCGAUAAAGCCACGACCAAUCAGCACCCCACCGUGCGGGAUCGGCGUGAGGCAACGCGUCGGGCAGCGCCACAUAGUCGUCUUUGUCCAAGUCUGCCCUGGUCCCAACGCAACCACUGAGCGACUCGCACACGCACUUCUAUGCUGCCCUUGGACGCGAGAUGCUGUCGGUGGGCGCGGCGGCAUCGACAGCGCAUGUGGGUGAUAUGUUUGUAUGCGCCAAACCAUUUGCCCGCUCCCCUCGACGCAAAAGGGCGUCAUCUCGCUGCUUUCCCAACAUACACAGACAACAGUGCGCAGUGCCGGCAACGCAAUCAGGUUAUUCCUUUUUUUUUAAACGUGGGCGCACCACACGGUCCAGCGAUCUCAGUUGCCCGUUGCACAUAUCGGCCUCGCCCUAACAAGACAGAUAAGCGCGCAGGUAGGCCGUACACGGCGAUUCUAUGUCGACGAUGGCGGUCGCAACCUUGUUCCUGUGGGUCCACAAGGGUGCGCCGUGUCGACUCCUAAGGACGUCCUCGCGGAGCGUGCUAUCGAGCCACGGCGUGUCGGCCUCGCACAUGUAGGCCAAGCACGCGAGUCGGUCGUAUAGGAUGGCCUCUAAAAAUCGAUCAGGAUUCCAGCGGUAGCCUCUUCCAUAUAGGUAGCCCAGGCAAUCGAGAUGACCGCCGGCGAUUGCGUUUCUCGCCGCGCGUCCUCCUACAAGACAUCCCCCGUCGACCGCGUAACGCAAGCAGCCGAUAUGACCGCCAGCCGCAGCGCUGGCCGGCGUGCGCCAAUCCCACGGGCAUCCAUGUUGGCGCGCAUAUUGCAGACACGCAAUGUGUCCUCGCGAUGCGGCCUCGGCGCACGUGCGCUCGUCCCAAUGACACCCGUGCUUGUGCGCGUAUUCGAGGCAAUCGAGGUGGCCACCUCGCGCGGCGUUGGCGCAGACGUUGGCUCGCCAUGCGUAGCCUCGUUCGUGCAUCUCCUUGAGACACAUAAGAUGACCAUGACGUGCGGCUGUCGCGCACCGCCGCGCGCGUCUCCUGGUAUGGAAUUUGGUGCACUGCCCGCGCCACGGCGACGUGGGGUCAAGCCCGAUGCGGCGCCACCUCGCGCAGACACCGACGACGCUCGUGGCGCGCGUGGCGCACGUCAUGAAAGAAAAGAUGUGCUGCAAGAUUUCGUCUGGCAGGUCGGGCGAUCGCGAGGUUGUUGAUUCAUGCGCGCCGCUGGCCGUUCCGUCUGCGUCCAUGGUGUGUCGCGUAUGGGCGGGCCAGGCAACACCGACGCCCGCACUCCCAUAUCUGCUCUUGCGAUCUCGCGAUCGAUGCCACUGGCCGCAGCCAUGGAGUCGUCGGCGUUUCCACACCAGACCGCCCAACCACGCCGUGGUGCAGGCGCCGACGACAGGGGAAGAGAGGGCGGCGUGUCAAUCCAAUGAGAAUUUGUGCGUUUGGCGCGUGGGUAUAUUUUUUUUUUCAUUGGAUAAAACUGCGC